AACCCUAUACGCCGAACUCUUUAUCACCUCCAUAAUCGAGAAACAUGUCCUUAUUUACUCCAAGGACAAUUUUGACCGCUGUCCAAUGAUCCAUUCCUGGAUCAUUCUUGUACCCCUUGACUGACUCAUGGCAAGGCACACUUCCGGUGCGGUACACAGCAUAGCAUACUAUAGAGCCUACGUCUGAAGUAUAGGGGACGACCUUCGUCCUUUCUCUCUAUUCUGCCGUGGUCGAGCUUUUAAGUCUUAACUUCAUACCUUACAUCUCAGGCAAGAACUCCUUCUUUGACUGAUCCAUCUUGAACACCUUCAAGAUCAUGUCAAGGUACGUGCUCAUUUGAAAGUACUAUUAAGCAUUUUGAUCUAUCUUAUAGACCUUGAUGCUUAUUGUUCAAGUAGCCUAAUCCAGGUUUUCCAUUGAAAAACACUUUUCAAAUAACCCUAUAUGCUUUCCAGAAAUUCUACAUCAUUUCUGAUCAACAAUAUGUCAAUAACAUAUACUCAUCAGAAAUUCUAUAGUGCUCCCACUCACUUCUUUGGAAAUACAAGUUUCUCAUAAACUUUUGUAUAAACCCAAAAUCUUUGAUCAUCUCAUCAAAACGUACAUUCCAACUCCGAGAUGCUUACUCCAGUCCUUAGAAGGAUCGCUGGAGACAUCAUACCUUUUAGCAUCCUUAGGAUCGACAAAAACUUUCGGAUUGUAUCACAUACAACCUUUCCUUACGAAGACUGGUAAGAAAACUCGUUUUGACAUCCAUCUGCCAGAUUUCAUAAUGCAGCUAAUGCUAACAUGAUUCCAACGGACUUAAGCAUCGCCUACGGAUGAGAAAAUCUCAUCGUAGUCAACUCCCUGAACUUGUGAAAAAACUCUUCGCCACAAGUCGAGCUUCAUAGACGGUGACAUCACCGUCCACGUCCGUCUUCUUCUUAAAGAUCCAUUUAUCUCAAUGGCUUUCCGAUCAUCGGGCAAGUCCACCAAAGUCCAUGCUUUGUUCUGAUACAUGGAUCCUAUCUCGGAUUUCAUGGCUUCUAGCCAUUUGUCGGAAUUUGUGCCCACCAUUGCUUCUCCAUAGCUCGUAGGUUCAUUGUUGUCUAGCAACAUGACCUUCAAGACAAGAUUACUAUACCACUCUGAAGCAGUACGCAUCCUUGUCACCCUAUGAGGUACGGUAGUGACUUGAUCCGAAGUUUCAUGAUCACUAUCAUAAGCUUCUACUUCAAUUGGUGUAGGUGCCACAGGAACAACUUCCUGUGCCCUGCUACACACUAGUUGUAGUGACGGUUCAAUAACCAUAUCAAGUCUCCACCAUCCUCCCACUCAACUUUUCGAGACAAACUUUUCCUCGAGAAAGGACCCGAUUCAAGAAACAAUCCCUAUUGCUUUCGGAUCUGAAUUAGGAGGUAUACCCAACUGUUUUGGGUGUCCUAUGAAGAUGCAUUUUAUCCGCUUUGGGUUCGAGCUUAUCAACCUGAAACUUUUUCACAUAAGCGUCGCAGCCCCAAACCUUUAAGAAAUGACAGCUUAGGUUUCUCUAAACCAUAGUUCAUACGGUGUCAUCUCGACGGAAUUACGUGGUUCCCUAUUUAAAGUGAAUGUGAUUGUCUCUAAUGCCUAACCCAUAAACGAUAGUGGUAAUUCGAUAAGAGACAUCAUGGUACGCACCAUAUCCAAUAGGGUGCAACUAUGAUGUUCGGACACACCAUCAAACUAUGGUGUUCCAGGCGGUAUUAAUUGUGAAACAAUUUCCACAAUGUCUUAAUUGCGUGCCAAAGCUCGUAACUCAGAUACUCAUCUCUAUGAUCAUAUCAUAGACAUUUUAUCCUCUUGUCACGACGAUCUUCAACUUCACUCUGAAAUUACUUGAACCAUUCAAUAAUUCAGACUUCUGUUUCAUCAAGUAAAUAUACUCAACAUCUACUCGAAUCAUCUGUGAAGUAAGAACAUAACGAUAUUCACUGCAUGCCUCAGCACUCAUUGGACUGCACACAUCAAAAAUGUGUUACUUCCAACAAGUUGCUAUCUCGUUCCAUCUUACUGAAAACGAGGCUUUUCAGUCAUCUUGCCCAUGUGGUAUGAUUUGCAUAUCUCAAGUGAUUCAAAAUCAAGUGAGUCCAAAUGAUCCAUCUGCAUGGAGUUUCUUCAUGCGUAUACACCAAUAGACAUGGUUCGCAUGUCUCAAACUUUUCAAAAACGAGUGAGUCCAAAAAUCCAUCAACAUGGAGCUUCUUCAUGCGUUUUAUACCAAUAUGACUUACAUCGCAAUGCCACAAGUAAGUGGUACUAUCAUUAUUAUCUUAUAUCUUUUGGCAUGAAAAUGUGUAUCACUACGAUCGAGAUUCAAUAAACCAUUCGUUUCAGGUGCAAGACCAUUGAAGGUAUUAUUCAAAUAAACAGAGUAACCAUUAUUCUCCUUAAAUGAAUAACCGUAUUGCGAUAGACAUAAUCCAAUCAUAUCUAUGCUCAACGCAAACACCAAAUGACAACCAUUCAGGUUUAAUACUAAUCUUGAUGGUAGAGGGAGCGUGCGAUGUUUGAUCACAUCAAACUUGGAAAUACUUCCAACACAUAUCGUCAGCUCACCUUUAGCUAGUCUCCGUUUAUUCCGUAGCUCUUUUAUUUCGAGUUACUAACACUUAGCAACCGAACCAGUAUCUCAUACCCUGGUGCUACUAGGAGUACUAGUAAAGUACACAUUAACAUAAUGUAUAUCCAAUAUACUUCUAUCGACCUUGCCAGCCUUCUCAUCUACCAAGUAUAUAGGGUGGUUCCGCUUCAGUGCCCGUUCCUCUUAUUACAGAAGCACUUAGUCUCGGGUUUGGGUUCAACCUUGGGUUUCUUCACUAGAGCAGCAUCUGAUUUGCCAUUUCAUGAAGUAUCCCUUCUUGCCCUUGCCCUUCUUGAAACUAGUGGUUUCACCAACCAUCAACAAUUGAUGCUCCUUCUUGAUUUCUACUUUCGUGGUGUCAAACAUCGCGAAUACCUCAAGGAUCAUCAUAUCUAUCCCUGACAUAUUAUAGCUCAUCACGAAGUUCUAGCAGCUUGGUGGCAAUGACUUUGGAGAAACAUCACUAUCUCAUCUGGAAGAUCAACUCCCACUCUAUUCAAGUGAUUGUUGCAGUCAGACAAUCUGAGCACAAGCUCAACGAUUGAUCUUUUCUCCCUUAGUUUGCAGGCUAAGAAAAUCGUCGGAGGUCUCAUACCUCUUGACGUGGGCAUGAGCCUGAAAUCUCAAUUUCAGCCCUCGAAACAUCUCAUAUGUUCCGCGACGUUUCGAAAACAUCUUUGGUGCCUCAAUUCUAAACCGUUUAUCUGAACUAUCACGUAGUUAUCAAAACGUGUAUGUCCGAUGUUCGCAACAUCCACAAACGACGUUUGGGGUUCAGCACACUGAGCGGUGCAUUAAGGACAUAAGCUUUCUACUGUCCGCAUAAUCGCUACUGUCAACUUUCAACUAUAUUUUCUCUAGGAACAUAUCUAAACAGUGGAACUAAAGUGUGAGCUUACAACAUAAUUUGCAAAGAUCUUUUGACUAUGUUCAGGAUAAUUAAGUUCAUCUUAUGAACUCCCACUCAGAUAGACAUCCCUCUAGUCAUCUAAGUGAUUACAUGAUCCGAGUCAACUAGGCCGUGUCCGAUCAUCACGUGAGACGGACUAGUCAUCGUCGGUGAACAUCUUCAUGUUGAUCGUAUCUACUAUACGACUCAUGCUCGACCUUUCGGUCUCUGUGUUCCGAGGCCAUGUCUGUACAUGCUAGGCUCGUCAAGUUAACCCUAAGUGUUUCGCGUGUGUAAAUCUGUCUUACACCCGUUGUAUGUGAACGUAAGAAUCCAUCACACCCGAUCAUCACGUGGUGCUUAGAAGCGACGAACUUUAGCAACGGUGCACAGUUAGGGGAGAACACUUCUUGAAUUUUUUGUAAGGGAUCAUCUUAUUUACUACUGUCGUUCUAAGUAAACAAGAUGCAUAAACAUGAUAAACAUCACAUGCAAUCAAAUAGUGACAUGAUAUGGCCAAUAUCAUUUUGCUCCUUUUGAUCUCCAUCUUCGGGGCUCCAUGAUCAUCAUCGUCACCGGCAUGACACCAUGAUCUUCAUCAUCAUGAUCUCCAUCAUCGUGUCUUCAUGAAGUUGUCUCGCCAACUAUUACUUCUACUACUAUGGCUAUCGGUUAGCAAUAAAGUAAAGUAAUUACAUGGCGUUGUUCAAUGACACGCAGGUCAUACAAUAAAUUGAGACAACUCCUAUGGCUCCUGCCGGUUGUCAUACUCAUCGACAUGCAAGUCGUGAUGCCUAUUACAAGAACAUGAUCAAUCUCAUACAUCACAUAUCAUUCAUCACAUUCUUCUUGGCCAUAUCACAUCACAUAUCAUACCCUGCAAAAACAAGUUAGACGUCCUCUAAUUGUUGUUUGCAUGUUUUACGUGGCUGCUAUGGGUUUCUAGCAAGAACGUUUCUUACCUACGCAAAACCACAACGUGAUAUGUCAAUUGCUAUUUACCCUUCAUAAGGACCCUUUUCAUCGAAUCCGUUCCGACUAAAGUGGGAGAGACUGGCACCCGCUAGCCACCUUAUGCACCAAGUGCAUGUCAAUCGGUGGAACCUGUCUCACGUAAGUGUACGUGUAAGGUCGGUCCGGGCCGCUUCAUCCCACAAUACCGUCGAAACAAGAUUUGACUAGUAACGGUAAGCAUAUUGAACAUAAUCAACGCCCACAACUACUUUGUGUUCUACUCGUGCAAAGAAUCUACGCAAUAGACCUAGCUCAUGAUGCCACUGUUGGGGAACGUAGCAGAAAUUCAAAAUUUUCCUACGUGUCACCAAGAUCUAUCUAUGGAGAAACCAACAACGAGGGGAAGGAGAGUGCAUCUACAUACCCUUGUAGAUCGCUAAGCGAAAGCGUUCAAGAGAACGGGGUUGAAGCAGUCGUACUCGUCGUGAUCCAAAUCACCGGAGAUCCUAGUGCCGAACGGACGGCACCUCCGCGUUCAACACACGUACAGCCCGGUGACGUCUCCCAUGCCUUGAUCCAGCAAGGAGAGAGGGAGAGGUUGAGGAAGACUCCAUCCAGCAGCAGCACAACGGCGUUGUGGUGAUGGAGGAGCGUGGUAGUCUAGCAGGGCUUCGCCAAGCACCGCGAGAUAUGAGGAGAAGGGAGAAGGGAAGGGCUGCGCCAAGAGGAGAAGUUCUCAUCUGUUGGACAACCCCCAGACCUCUAGUAUUUAUAGGGGGAGGGGAGGGGGCUGCACCCCCUCUAGGGUUCCCUCCCCAGGGGUGGCGGCAGCCCCCAGAUCCCAUCUGGGUGGCGGCCAGAAGGGGAGAGGGGGGAGGCGCACCCAGGGUGGGCCUUAGGGCCCAUCUGCCCUAGGGUUUGCCCCCUUUCCCCACUUCCUGCGCCUUGGGCCCUGUGGGGGGGUGCACCAGCCCACCUGGGGCUGGUCCCCUCCCACACUUGUCCCAUGCAGCCCUCCAGGGUUGGUGGUCCCACUUGGUGGACCCCCGGGACCCUCCCGGUGGUCCCGGUACGUUACCGGAAAAACCCGAAACUUUUCCGGUGACCAAAACAGGACUUCCAAUAUAUAAAUCUUUACCUCCGGACCAUUCCGGAACUCCUCGUGACGUCCGAGAUCUCAUCCGGGACUCCGAACAACAUUCGGUAACCAUAUACAAACUUCCUUUAUAACCCUAGCGUCAUCGAACCUUAAGUGUGUAGACCCUACGGGUUCGGGAGACAUGUAGACAUGACCGAGACGUUCUCCGGUCAAUAACCAACAGCGGGAUCUGGAUACCCAUGUUGGCUCCCACAUGUUCCACGAUGAUCUCAUCGGAUGAACCACGAUGUCAAGGACUCAGUCGAUCCCGUAUACAAUUCCCUUUGUCUAACGGUAUUGUACUUGCCCGAGAUUCGAUCGUCGGUAUACCGAUACCUUGUUCAAUCUCGUUACCGGCAAGUCUCUUUACUCGUUCCGUAACACAUCAUCCUGUGAUCAACCCCUUAGUCACAUUGUGCACAUUAUGAUGAUGUCCUACCGAGUGGGCCCAGAGAUACCUCUCCGUUUACACGGAGUGAUAAAUCCUAGUCUCGAUCCGUGUCAACCCAACAGACACUUUCGGAGAUACCUGUAGUGCACCUUUAUAGUCACCCAGUUACGUUGUGAUGUUUGAUACACCCAAAGCACUCUUACGGUAUCCGGGAGUUACACAAUCUCAUGGUCCAAGGAAGAGAUACUUGACAUUGGAAAAGCUCUAGCAAACGAACUACACGAUCUUUGUGCUAUGCUUAGGAUUGGGUCUUGUCCAUCACAUCAUUCUCCUAAUGAUGUGAUCCUGUUAUCAACGACAUCCAAUGUCCAUAGCCAGGAAACCAUGACUAUCUGUUGAUCACAACGAGCUAGUCAACUAGAGGCUCACUAGGGACAUAUUGUGGUCUAUGUAUUCACACGUGUAUUACGAUUUUCGGAUAAUACAGUUAUAGCAUGAAUAAAAGACAAUUAUCAUGAACAAGGAAAUAUAAUAAUACUUUUAUUAUUGACUCUAGGGCAUAUUUCCAACAGUCUCCCACUUGCACUAGAGUCAAUAAUCUAGUUCACAUCGCCAUGUGAUUAACACUCACAGGUCACAUCACCAUGUGACCAACAUCCAAAGAGUUUACUAGUGUCAUUAAACUAGUUCACAUCAUCAUGUGAUUAAGACUCAAUGAGUUCUGGGGUUUGAUCAUGUUUUGCUUGUGAGAGAGGUUUUAGUCAACGGGUCUGCAACAUUCAGAUCCGUAUGUACUUCGCAAAUCUCUAGGUCAUAUUGUAAACGCUGCUGCCACGCUCCACUUGGAGCUAUUCCAAAUGGUUGCUCCACUAUACGUAUCCGGUUUGCUACUCAGAGUCAUUUGGAUAGGUGUUAAAGCUUGCAUCGACGUAACCCUAUACGCCGAACUCUUUAUCACCUCCAUAAUCGAGAAACAUGUCCUUAUUUACUUCAAGGACAAUUUUGACCGCUGUCCAAUGAUCCAUUUCUGGAUCAUUCUUGUACCCCUUGACUGACUCAUGGCAAGGCACACUUUCGGUGCGGUACACAGCAUAGCAUACUAUAGAGCCUACAUCUGAAGUAUAGGGGACGACCUUCGUCCUUUCUCUCUAUUCUGCCGUGGUCGAGCUUUUAAGUCUUAACUUCAUACCUUACAUCUCAG
rnacentral:lncRNA from 1 species